rnacentral:rRNA from 1 species
CCAGCUCCAAUAGCGUAUAUUUAAGUUGUUGCAGUUAAAAAGCUCGUAGUUGGAUUUCGGGUGGGGUGGUGCGGUCCGCCUCUGGUGUGCACUGCUCCGCUCCACCUUCCUGCUGGGGACGGGCUCCUGGGCUUAAUUGUCCGGGACUCGGAGUCAGCGAUGUUACUUUGAGUAAAUUAGAGUGUUCAAAGCAAGCCUACGCUCUGAAUAUAUUAGCAUGGAAUAACACGAUAGGACUCUGGCCUAUCUGUUGGUCUGUGGGACCGGAGUAAUGAUUAAGAGGGACAGUCGGGGGCAUUCGUAUUCCAUUGUCAGAGGUGAAAUUCUUGGAUUUAUGGAAGACGAACCACUGCGAAAGCAUUUGCCAAGGAUGUUUUCA